CGCUAUUUAGUUAUGAAUCAUAAGUUUCUUUUCCUUUUAUAUUUCAGUUUUGCCAUUUACCAAUGAUGCACUCACUCUUUUUAAAAAUGAGUUGGAAGCCAGGAAUUGUGGCCCAUUUCUAUCAUCCUAGGAGGCAGACAUAAGAGCACUGCAACAUUAGCUAUAAUCGUGAAGGCCAAUAGCCCAUCCCAAAUCAAUACUGUAAAGCAACACUGAACUGAAAUUGCCUGCAGAAAGGACAGCAGAGCCCGGGCAGACCCAGGCUGGGUGUGGCUGGGUUGCAGCCACAUCUGAAGGUUCGCCUCACAUCCUUCUUGACCUAACCGGGUACCUCGAUGUGAUCGUCUGCUCUAGUAUCUGCAUUUUCCUCUGAGUGCAGCCUGUGGAAUCCUCCAGGAGUGGAUCUUCUGUCCCUCAGAUACCGAUCCCAGUGAAACUCUCCC